AAAUAGAAUUUGAUAGAUACAAUGUGAAAACAUUUUUACGAUUUAGCUCACGAGUUUGAGGGAGAGGAUCCACUCCGGUGGAAAUUUCCUCCUGUGAAAUAAUCUUAACCAUCCAUUCUUUUAAUGACAUCUUAAUUAAUCUUAGCCCUUAAUUUUUAUUUUUUAUUUUACAAGUUGAUUCAUUUCUUUUCUUCCCUUCCUCACGUUGUUUCUUUGCCAUUCAUUCACUCUCAAUUUCAGAAACCCAUCUCAACAGCGGCGGCGGAACGGUGGUUGCGCGGUGGAGACGUGUGGCGGCAAACCACAACAGCUGACUACAGCGACGGUUGUCCUUCCUUCUCUAUUUUCCAUCUUCCUUCAAAAUCCUUCUUUCCUUAUGUUGUGCGGCGGAGGGGCACCACGAUGGUGGAUUACGGUUGAAAGGUUUUUUUUUUUUAUGUCUACAACCCUAACUUAAUUGGUGAAAUACCUGAAAGAAUUGGAGAUAUGGUUUAUUUGGAGAAGUUGGUUAUGUCGCAAAAUGGUUUAUGAGUGGCAAUGGUACCUUAGAGUGUCUGUUGCGGUGGAGUUGUCGUGGUCUCUUGUGCUUUCGAGGUUGAAGCUGUGGUAUUCGGCGCGUGCGGGACUGUUUUGGCACUGAUGUUACUGCUGUAUAUGACAGCAUCAGUUUUUCUUGUAUGAUAGCAGCAAGGUUCGGCUGCUGUUUGUUGAUAGCAGGGCAGAUUUUUGUGCCAGUACAACAUCAGUUUUUCUGGUUUGAUAGUAGCAAGGUUCAGCAGCUGUGUGUUGAUAGCAGGGCAGAUUUUUUGGGCCAGUUUUUAGGGUGUUGGUUUCGAGUUUUCCGGUAUAUCGGUGACCUCUGUUUGUUUUCCUUGUCCGCGAGUUUGUUGCACUUGUACACUCUCGACGUGAAUAAAAUUUGUUUAUUCUAAAAAGAAAAAUGUAAAAGAGGAAGAGUUAUUAGUUUGUAUUAGAUUGUUUGUACUACAAUGUAAAAUUAUAGUCCUGGUUGUAAAAGAGGAAGAGUUAUUAGCUUGUAUUAGGUUCUUUGUACAUCAAUGUAAAAUUAUAGUUAUGGUUUUAACAUGUGAUCUUCAAGAUCUUGUACUUUGAAAUUUCGAUCAAUGGAACCUAAUUAUUUGUCUA